AAGGCGGCCUAAUACCGGAUAAGACCACGGUGGUUUCGGCCACUGAGGUCAAAGAUGGCCUCUGCCUGCAAGCUGUUGUUUGAGGAUGAGCCCGCGUCCCAUUAGCUAGUUGGUGGGGUAAAAGCCUACCAAGGCGACGAUGGGUAGCUGGUCUGAGAGGAUGGCCAGCCACACUGGAACUGACACACGGUCCAGACUCCUACGGGAGGCAGCAGUGAGGAAUUUUGCGCAAUGGGGGAAACCCUGACGCAGCAACGCCGCGUGAGUGAUGAAGGCCUUCGGGUUGUAAAGCUCUGUCGAGUGGGAAGAAUUUUUUUCGGCUGAAUAAUCCGAAAAAUUGACGGUACCGCUGAAGGAAGCACCGGCUAACUCCGUGCCAGCAGCCGCGGUAAUACGGAGGGUGCAAGCGUUAUUCGGAUUUAUUGGGCGUAAAGGGCGUGUAGGCGGUUUGAAUAGUCAGGUGUGAAAGCCCUUGGCUUAACCAAGGAAGUGCAUUUGAA
rnacentral:rRNA from 1 species